AUUCAUAUUUUUUCUUUUGUCUUCUUCCUUCAUGUCUUCCAUCCUUUCUUUUCCUCAUCCCCCUUCUCUCUCCCUCCUUUGAGUCAUGCAUUUCCUGCUUUUCUGUCCUUCCAUCUCCUCAUCUCCCUUCUUCAUAUUACUUUUCCUUAUUCCUUAUCUAUUUAUCUUUUUCUUUCUUUCCUCCUUGUCUUUCUACUGACUUUUUUUGUGUAUUGUGUCCACCUUGAUGGGAACUACUCUUUUUAAAAGUCAGUUGGCAGUCUGUCUCCGUAUGCACUCCGUAAGACUUUUAUUCUGUUAAAACACAAACUUCCUUCUCAGACGUAGAGAACUGCGGCACCUUGUGUGUCUCGUAGUAACUCGCUCUCUCCUCCCAUGUGACUGCAGGUUCCUGAGGGCUGCAGGGUGGCCAGGUGAAUUGAUUGGCUGGUGAAGGGCUCACGCUGAUUGCUGAUUAUUGGUGGUGGUGGGGGGUGACAAAGAAAGAGAGAGGUAGAGGGGGAUAGAGAGAUGAGGUGGAGGCCGGUUUGCAUGUCUGCAUGCUCACAAAUCCAUAAUCACCCAUAAUCCAAAGCAUUCUGGGUUGCUAGAGGAAGAAGGGGAGGGUCAUAAGUAGAAGAGUAGAUGAACUUAAAGCAAAAAAAAGCACUAAUAUCAUCUAAUAAUAGGCGGCAGCCAUUGGAAAAGUCCCACCCUGACUAGGAGUUUCUAAACUUUUUUUCUGCAAUAGUUUGACAUGGCAACGCUUAAGCAGCAGAGGCAGAAAACUGGGAAGAUUUGUGCUCAUUCACAGGGGUGGAAACCCCAAAAUCAGCUCAUUUAGAGAGAAAAUCUGUCAAUUUCACACUUAGACUGUCAGGGUUUGUCACCUCUUGUAAAGGGUCCGUUGCGUUUACAAUGUUUGCUGCCACUAACCAUGUCAGUGCUGCACUCAUCCCUGUCGCCUGUUAUCAUCUGUGCUCUGUUGGUGAUGUCUGCCUGCGCCACUCUGCUCCUCAUGCCUGCCUUCAUACAGUCGCAUGUCCUUAACGUGUCCCAAACAAGACCAGAUGUUUCAUCUGUGACUUUAACUGCAACUCUAUAGAAGUGUGUGUGCAACCUACAUUUCAUCUGUGACUUUCACUGCAACUCAAUAGAAGUGUGUGUGCAGCCGGGGCUGAGUUGUGUGUUGAGUGCUGUGUCAUCCUGAUGUGUUGAUGAAAGUCCAGCAUGAGUAUGAUUUUAUUUUUGUGGGUUUUAAUGUUCCUCAGUUCCUCAUUAGGCAGAUAGCAGGACUAUCAGGUGAAUACAGGACCUCUCUACCAGUCUCUUUCUUUCGUUUCCCACCUUUCCUCUUCAUCUUCCUGGGUUGUAAUUCCACCAGUCGACCAGUAGAUGGGAGCCUUUCCUCACCACAGCUCAGUUUGAGCCGGACUGGGCCACUUUAAAUACCACCAAACACGAAGAGGAGCUUCGGUGUCUUCCCAUGUCAGACUCUGCCUUAAAACUUCAUGGCGUUUUACUGUGGAGGGAUUAUUCCACACACGCCUGUACGUGUCUGCUCCUCCGCCUGACUACAUCUCCCAACAGCCACCUGGGCUUACCUCACCACCUUGGGGACUCUCAACUGCAUCUCCAUUUAUAUAAAAAAAAAAAAAAAAAAAACUUUUUACCAUUGAAUGAUUUGUACAGAGUAACAUCUUUUAUGUCAUGCUGAAUGUGUUUCCAUGGUGAUUGUUUUUAGGUCUGAUUGACACUUCAUGAGAGACAACAAGGUUUGAAUUGAACUGAUGCACUUUGCCCUGAAGUUCCACAGCAUUUGAAUCUGAUUUUAAAUGAACGACUUAACGAAUAAAUGAAUGGCCGGCUGAAGGUCUGCUGGAUGCUGAGAGAGGCGUGAACUUUAUGAAUGACCACUGUGUAGCAGCGAGAAACACUUCUAGCAAUCUUCUCUUCCUGAUGGUUUUUAUACUCUUUUGUAACUCUUGACGAGCAAUGGCCAACAUUUUUGUUGCAUGAUUUUUUUUUUUUUUUGAUCCUUUGAAUUCAUUUGUCUCUCUGGUGAUUGUUUUUCAACCAUUCACUGUAUCUCUUCAACAGACUAACAAAACUACACAUCUGAAGUAAAGUUGGACUUCCUUUUGAUGCUAUUCAAGGCAAAAAUGCCACUAAUGAUUCGGCUGCCUGUCGACCAAACAGCAGGUGGCAGCACCUCAGUUAAAGUCUGUUUCUUCGAUGAAGCUGUGAAAUGUACAGAAUGAUGCUGUCGGUGUUACUUGAACUACGCUUAGCCUCUCCUAUUUGCGAUCAUUUUGCAUCGGAGAAAUAAUUUGACAUUGUGAGAAAUUCGCUUUCCAGAACUUGACAUUUUUACACUUUGUAUGGAUUAAACAAGCCUACUUUGUUACCUUUGAACAGAGCCGGGCUAGCUGUUUUCCAUCCGUCUUAAUGCUAAGCUAACUGUAGCUUCAGAUUUAUCGUACAGAUAUUAGAGUGGGAUCUCAUCUAUCUCUCUGUAGGAAAGUUGGGGGAAAAAAAAAGCGUAGUUUCCAAAAUGUCUAAAUAUUUUUCAGUCUUCCCUCUAUACUGAUUGGCUUUCAUUUGCAUGGGGAUGCAAAAUGGUGCAAAUGAAAGUAACCGGUUUCUGCAGUCUGUCAGAUUUAGCUUUGAAAACCUAGACACACAUCUAUCCAUGCUUUUUGCUUUGUGUAGCCUACACAUCUGAUGCCAUGGUUAGCUACAGCUGCUAGCCUGCUUGUGAUUCCUUAAAUUGAGCUGAAACAACACAUUUUUGGCCUAUAUAUUGUUAUUUCAUUUUAUAUAACUCAACUACAAUUUAAGAUGUGUGCAGUAGAGUAUUGCAUAUUAGAUUACUUGUUCCAGUGGUAAUACAGUCACACCGUUAAGACCCGUUUCUGUUUUAAAGCAGUUAGGGCUGCAACUAAUUGUCAUUAUCAGUGUAUUAUUUUUGUUUUUGUUUAAUCUUUAAAAUGUAGAAUAAAAAUAGUGAAUAAUGCCUGUUGAACGUUUAACCAGCCCAAAGCAAUGUCUUCCAAAGUCUUUGAUGCUCAUAAUAACCCUGGGGGAGGCCACCCACGAUGAUAUGCCCCUCCCCCAAUGGCAGAUUCUGUCCCAUAUACAGUAUAUAGGCCAAUAUAUUUAUAUACUGUCUAGUAUACCCACUACAAUACUGAUUUGUACUAACUCUUACACAGACGGUACACUCCAAAUGUUUCAUUUCCUUCUGAUUUCCUUAUUUAGGUUGGGACAUUCAUUUCAAUUCUAUUUUAUUUAUAGUAUCAAAUCAUAACGAGUUAUCUCAUAAGGCAUGUUUGGAGUGUAUGGUCCCUUUAAUCCAAGAAAACAUGUCAGUAGUAAAGCAGAAGAUUUGAAAUUAGCUCAGUUUACCAACGGUAUUUUUGUUUGUUGGUCUUAUUAGAGUAAAAAUAAAAACUGUAAGCUGAGUAUUAUAAUAGCCACUGUGCUGUAAUUCAUAUUGUGCAAAAACACAUAAAGCAGCUUUAAGAUGUUAAAUGAAAAAGUUCUUGAGAUACACAUUGUCUCCAGCUGUUUAACUUACAUGAAACCAUUUUUUAUUUUUAAAUCAGCAUCAACAUCCAAUCACAGUAAAUAAAACCGGUAGCGGGUACAAGGUGAUGCUGCAGGCUCUUCAUCCAUGUAAAUGUGGUUUCACCAUGGUGUAUGUUGUAAUAACCAACGGCAGUACUUCUCUUUCCAUUUUGUUGUGCACAUCUUUUUCUUUGAAUGUUGUUGGACACUUUUCGUCUUUUGAGAUAUUGUUCUAUAAUAAAAUAAGCAGCAAUGAAA